ACCCAAUUCUGCACGUGCCUGUGGUCGCGUGCUGGUCGGUGGGCAUCCGGACAAGAGGCCGGACAGCCGCCCGAUGCAAAUGAAUGGCGAGGGAUCGUCAUUCGGGGUGCGUUACGCACCGAGCAUCGAACCUCGACCGGCAGCCGGAAUAGACCGGUGAACCCCGUCCUCCGCGGGGGACGCGACUUGAAGCAACGACGGAGCGGGUCUUU
rnacentral:sRNA from 1 species